GGAUGUGAGGGUGAUCUGGCUGUGACACCCGUCACCCCAUUGAUCACUAGCGUUGAGUUGGCCGAUCUGGCUGGCUGGGCUGAGGUCCCCUUCCUCCAUCACUGCUCCUUGUGCAUCCCUCCCGAAACUGCACGAUCGGUUUGUCGAAGAGGAUGACCUUCCCCGAUCGAGGAGGAUCAUUCUUCAGGCGAGGCUGUAGGAGUAGUUGCACUUGCCUCUAGAGUCUCCAAAUAAGCUCUCAAGGUCCUUUCUCAGGAGAACGCAGGGUAGUCAAGUUUCCAAGACUCUGGACACAUCCAAAGGAGGUGCUGCAUGACACAGCCUGCCUUUCUUU
ensembl:misc_RNA 7SK 7SK RNA